rnacentral:rRNA from 1 species
UGGGGAAUAUUGCACAAUGGGGGAAACCCUGAUGCAGCAACGCCGCGUGCGGGAUGACGGCCUUCGGGUUGUAAACCGCUUUCAGCCAUGUCGAAGCUUUUGUGACGGUAGUGGCAGAAGAAGCACCGGCUAACUACGUGCCAGCAGCCGCGGUGAUACGUAGGGUGCGAGCGUUGUCCGGAAUUAUUGGGCGUAAAGAGCUUGUAGGCGGUUUGUCGCGUCGAAAGUGUAAACUCAGUGCUUAACGCUGAGCCUGCUUUCGAUACGGGCUGACUAGAGUAAGGUAGGGGAGAAUGGAAUUCCCGGUGGAGCGGUGGAAUGCGCAGAUAUCGGGAGGAACACCAGUGGCGAAGGCGGUUCUCUGGACCUUUCCUGACGCUGAGAAGCGAAAGCGUGGGUAGCAAACAGG